UCAGGAUGAACGCUAGCGACAGGCUUAACACAUGCAAGGUCGAGGGCAGCAUAAAAGUAGCAAUACGUUGGUGGCGACCGGCGCACGGGUGAGUAACGCGUAUGCCAACCUACCUAUCGAGAGGGGAAUAACCCGGCGAAAGUCGGACUAAUACCGCAUAAAACAGGGGCACCGCAUGGUGAUAUUUGUUAAAGAAAUUCGCUGAUAGAUGGGCAUGCGUUCCAUUAGGUAGUUGGUGAGGUAACGGCUCACCAAGCCGACGAUGGAUAGGGGAACUGAGAGGUUGGUCCCCCGCACUGGUACUGAAACACGGACCAGACUCCUACGGGAGGCAGCAGUGAGGAAUAUUGGUCAAUGGGCGGGAGCCUGAACCAGCCAAGUCGCCGUGAAGGAAGAAGGAUCUAUGGUUCGUAAACUUCUUUUGCAGGGGAAUAAAGUGCAGGACGUGUCCUGUUUUGUAUGUACCCUGAGAAUAAGGAUCGGCUAACUCCGUGCCAGCCGCAGC
rnacentral:rRNA from 1 species